ensembl:lncRNA
GAAAGCGUGUAACUUUGGCCUAAUAAUGAACUUUUCAUGGCGAAGAAGAAAUACACGAACUAACUGGCCACUUCAGAGACUGUGUUGUGUCUGUGUGUCGGUGUGACUGUGGGAGCCGAGGGAGCAGAGGUGUCGGUGACACAGGGAGAGGAAUGGAGAGAGAGACGAUAGAUACGGAGGGAGCGAGAUGCACUAUCACAAUUGAGGAAUCUCCUGUGGCUUCAGUGUGUCUCCAUGGAAACACUUCCAUCAAAAGCUGAAGGGACUGUUCAGGUUAAAGGGCUUUGUUGAUGUAAAUACAUUUUAAUCCCCAUUUCUCAUAAAACGAAGAGGACAAAUCCGCUCAUAUGUAAAAGAGGAACUGUUUGAUACAUAUGAAAAAUAGUCAAGAUUUGAUCUAUUUAAUAUGUUCCAGAAUCCAGAAUCAUGAGCUUGCUCUUCCCAGUUUGAAGACCAAGUAUAUAUUAAUUAUAUUACAUUUUUUUUCAGAUUUUUAUUUUAUUUUAUUUUUUGUUAAGAAUGUUUCAUGGCUAUGCUUUUUUAGAGGUAAUUUUGGUAUCCUUUUUGUGUACACAAAUAAAUUAGGAAUGUGAACUAGUUAACUAGCUUUUAUUCUUUUCCUCUUUCAGGCUGUCAGUAUCGGUUCUGUUUGCUCCAAGCCAAGUCAGAGUGAAAACCCUGUUAUGCUAGAGAGAGAGGGAAGGAAACGUUCAAGAUUCUGGAUGAGGGACAGAGCGGAUGGAGAAGGGGAAAGGCUGGAUACAAAGGGAGAGAGAGGGAGCAUCCCUCCUGCUGUACCCACCUGCCCCCCUGCAUAUGCCAGAAAAAUGAGAAUAGAUUGGCCCAUCCGUGGAUGGUGCCAGGUGGCAUUUAGACCCCCAAGAAGAUAUGUGUGCAGUCUAUCUACCUCACAGUGACAGACGUUGGGCCUGGAGAGAGAGGAAAAGAAAAAAGGAAGCAAGUCGGAAAGGAUAGUAACGGAGGAGGGGGAAAGCAGAAAAACCCUAGUAGGUUCAAGUAAAUGUGUUGUCCUGCUAAAGGCACGCUUGUUUUCUUGUCAUUAUCUCAAGCUGCUGUUGCACAGCGAGCCAGAUGUACAUGUGGGAGUACGCAAACGGGCUAGUGACAAUAGGAAUGCCCCUUUUUGCAUUGCCAUGUAAUCUUAGCCUUUUCCUUGUUUUGAAACCGUACUUGAGCUGGAUUUGAAAUCCUGUUAUAUGGAUUAGUGAACACUUAAACAUUAUGGAAAUUAAAAAUCAGGGAGCACAGAUGUGAUUUUGCAACACACAUGCCUAAAGGAAUGUUUUUAUGAUUUAAUACAAGUUAAGUUCAAUCAAGAGCAUCUGUGGUAUAAUGUUCAUUACCACAAAAAACAGUUUCAACAUCACUUUCUUUAUUAAGAAUUUCGGGUUAAAUUAAGAAUAUUUCAGGUUAAGUUCAGUCAACAGCAUACAUGGUAUAAUGUUAGUUAUCACAAAAAAUUGAUUCUGCUCAAACGUUUUCUUUUUUUUUAAACCAAAAAUCAAGGCUACAUUGAGGUACGUAUAAUCAAAGUAAAUGGCACCAGUAAUUUAGAGGAUUUAAAAGCAGGAAUGUGAAGUAUUGCAAUUUUAUAAAACCACUUACUUUUGUUAAAACUUGAGUUUUAUUUGAGCUGCAAAACUAUUUAGAUCAUAAUUUUUACAGUGAUUUUGGAGCAUUACCUUGUCAUGGCAAUGAAGUUACAACUACAGUUGUAUAUACUGUAACUUUACAAAGAAAAGGUUAGUAAACAAUUUUUCAGAGCAUGUUGUUCAUAUCUUGUGGAUAUACUUUUGAAAGAGCAAAUAGUUUAAUGUAUUCACGUGUUAAAGAAAAGGAAAUGAAUUUUUGUGGAAAUCAACAUCAUGCCACAAUGGCUGUCACUUGUACUGUACC